GAUGAACGCUGGCGGCGUGCCUAAUACAUGCAAGUCGAGCGAACAGACGAGGAGUUUGCUCCUCUGACGUUAGCGGCGGACGGGAGAGUAACACGUGGAUAACCUACCUAUACGACUGGGAUAACUUCGGGAAACCGGAGCUAAUACCGGAAAAUAUAUUGAACCGCAAGGUUCACUAGUGAAAGACGGUUUUGCUGUCACUUAUAGAUGGAUCCGCGCCGCAUUAGCUAGUUGGUAAGGUAACGGCUUACCAAGGCAACGAUGCGUAGCCGACCUGAGAGGGUGAUCGGCCACACUGGAACUGAGACACGGUCCAGACUCCUACGGGAGGCAGCAGUAGGGAAUCUUCCGCAAUGGACGAAAGCCUGACGGAGCAACGCCGCGUGAGUGAUGAAGGUCUUCGGAUCGUAAAACUCUGUUAUUAGGGAAGAACAAAUGUGUAAGUAACUAUGCACGUCUUGACGGUACCUAAUCAGAAAGCCACGGCUAACUACGUG
rnacentral:rRNA from 1 species